UGAUAUGGCUCAGUUGGUAGAGCAAUUGAUUCGUAAUCAAUAGGUCGCGGGUUCGAGUCCCGCUAUCA
rnacentral:tRNA from 2 species